CACCUGUAAAUGACAGUCCUCAUCUUUGAGUAACAUGAAAGAGUAACGGGACCCUAAAGGACCACAACUUUAAUCCACAUUUACACACAAGCAUGACGACAUCAUUUUUUUUCAGGCUAAAAAAAAAUAGAAUCAAAAUACGGGAAGAGGUGAGAGACACAACAUUAACCGAGAAUAAACUUUUAAAAAAAAAAUUAAAAAUGUCUUCUGUGUUUUAUCGUUCUAUAGCUUAAGACAAGACAUUGGGUGAGAGGGGGGGAAAAAAAGACCUUGACCAUACUUACAAGGCCACAUUUCCGUGGAGAGGUUGUUUAUUUCUCUCUCUCAUCUACAACACAGUGACACUGUUGCUGUUAAAGACAGCCUCCCCGAGCGCCCUCCCCCCAACAGCAGAAGAACAUUCAAAGCAAGGUAUACAACCAUCUCUGCUUUCCUCCAAAGUGGCUGCUGCACCUUUACACAACUAGGACAGUGAGUGACAAACCCAUUACAAUGUCAAAGAAUUUAAAUGUUAGAAUCUAGAAAUGUUUAUUUUUCGACAGACAUUUUUAUUUUACUACUUCUUUCGGGCCAAGGGAGUUUUGAAUGUAUAACCGCUUUAAAGCCUGUAACUCCUAGUGUGACUAUGGUCAGUUUAGUAGGACUGUACAGAUUUGAGGAACCACAGCUAGACCCACUUUUCUUGAAACUGUCAAAAGGCAAGAGAAACUAAAUAAGCAGUCAGGAACAGGAGCGAUACGAACACAUUCUGUAGCUAGCAGAAGUCAUUUUUAAGAUAUGAUUAUGUGUUAAAAAGCAAAUUAUUAUACAUAUUAAAUGUGUCAGAAAAAAAUCAUCCAACAGUUUAGCAAUAGUCAUUUCAUUCAAAUUUCAUUUAAAUAGUAAUAUUUCCUACACUGAUUUGUGGUCCCCUCGCUUCUUGUUAUCUGGCUGUGUAACUUCAGGUAACCUGGAUUGAAUUAAAAGCUGCCAAAAUACUGAAUCAUGCAGAUGAAGACAAGACCGACACCCACCUUCACAGUGUCAAAGGGAUGCCCCACUAAAACACCAGCAGCACCUGAAGAACAACACACCAAGCAGAUUUAGGUCAGCGGCAUCUCAUCUUUGAACGUAAUGAGCUUCCCGUAUCUGCAAUACUGUCCAUGACCCGACAACCGAUGCACACAUAACCUUGCAGCCUUUGACUGAUUAACUCACACCGGGCGUUCCAGCAGAGUCAGCAAACUUGCAGGAUGGAGAAGUCAAGACCCGCUUAAUCAUUAUUUUCCAUCCAUGAACACUCAUACUUUUAUCCAUGGAAAAGUUGAUUUUCCGCAUAAGUCAGUGACUAAAUAAGGUAAUGUUUGGUUUGUUGCCACCAUCUAGUAAUAAAUUACAGCAGCCUAAUGCAACUGGGAGCCAGCAAAUUUCAGUAACGAUGUCUCGUUGCUGUGGGCGAUUCUUGCUGCUUCGGUUUUAUCUUUGAACCUCAUCAUUCCGGGCAUGUGCCCCAAACAGAGAUUAUCUGACGUCUCUGCGAGAUCUGGCCUUGGGCAAAGACAAAACAGCUGACAACGUUCACAAGGGCUCGGAGUGAGGCUAAGGUGAGGAAUGUGGACGUAUCAACAUUUUCUCUAAAGAGACACUCGAUCAGAUGACUCCCAGGCGAGAGCUCAUUAUAUAACAGUCCUAGGAAAACAUGGCUGGCAUUUGCAGCUUUGUUUUCGCAUACGUAAUACAGAACAGGUUCCAGGUGGGGGUUGGGUGUGAUCGCAAGUCUGGAAUUUAUUCUCUUCUGUGAAUAACAAAAGAAAACAGUCACCACACCCGAGGGAGGGAUUCGCAUAAGACAACACAGUUAAGUCGGCUAAAACCGUGAAUUUAGCGUCUCCAAACAACCAGACUUCCUUGUUUAUCACACAUCACCUACGUGGCGCCCGCUCGUAAACGACCAGCUGCACAGCCGCGUCGGCCCACGCGUUUCUUCACACUAGCCAAAGCUAGCCGUUGGCUAGGUUAGCACAAACCGGUUCACCUGCCUAGCAUGGCCGGCUAACGCCAAGCGAGCGACUUACCCCCUGCACAGCCCGCAGCGAAGUCUAGUGCCAUUCCCUUCUAAAUGUGGACUGGCCGAGUUAAGUCAGUGACUGGGCAAACUGGUUUGCAAGUGUGGAACUCUUUUCGCCUCCAGACGAUGCUGAUGCUAAUGCUAGGCGAGCGCAAGGAAGCGUGCGCGUUUUCUCGUCGCUGCUGGCGCAGUCUCACUACUAUGAACCCCUUCUACCAACGCUUUCUAUUUCUGCACGGCGGCGGGGGUUCUGUGUAGGCAAGGAACGUGUUCGCCCCGUAUAAAGAAGCCCAAUCGGGUUCCGCCGUGGUGGACAACUCCCCUCGCUGCUCAUGUCCGCCCCCAAACCGAUUGGCUGCCGCCGCUGCGCACGCGAGCGCCGAGCGCGCGCCAGUGGCUUCUCCCCGCUUCCUAAACCAACACUGUUAUCGCAGCCGGUGACCAGCGGGUUGGCGCGUCCCGCUGCGCUCCUGCAGCCGGUGAAUGACGGCGCUUCUGCACGAGGAGGCAAAGUAGUGCGACUCCCACAAAACACGUGGCGUCAGGUGCGUAAACACAGUGACUCAUCAGAAACGGGGAAAUGUGGGUCUUCCACGCGAACCCGCGUCCUUGACCGUAACUGGCUGUAGUUCAGUCUAUGAUGUGAUUUGCACAACACCAGUUCAGCGUCCCCUAACAAAUGUAAACUUAAAAAAAAAUCGGUAUGUUUUUAUCAAAAGUGCAACUGUUGUCACAGGAAUGUAAUGUCUUUUCAGGGACAUAUACUGAAUAAUUAAUGUUGGAAUAUUCAAGUAUCCCAGUAAUGACAGUGGGUCAACAUGCACAGUGGUAAAAAGCUUCAGUAAAUGCAGGGACAUUUUAUCAUUGACAUGAAUAAAUCCCUAUUCACACCAUACAGGUGCUUUUGAUAAGCCAUUGUUUUGUUACUGUUAAUGUUUAUUUGUCCAUUUAAAUGAUUAGCAUACAUACGUAUGUGUAUUGCUGACAAGCAAGCAGAUGUAGCAGCAUUUUGAUUCAGUAAUCAUUCUCUCCUGGGCUGAAUUUCAGGCCAAGGAGUGGAGCUGUGACAGAACAGGGCUGCGAGCACAAACAUUUCAUACAGUAGAAGAUGUACAGCAAAUCGUAAAAAGUAACAUGAAGGCAUGAAGGCGUGGCCCAUGUUUGACAGACGAAAAUCAUGGCUCUUGUAAUUUACACCAUUUUUUUUCUGAGUGAGGCAAUGCCCAACACCUGGGUCAAAAUAACACAUACAUAAUAGAUGGAUUAAUCCUGUACUGUAAUCAACAACAUUUGCUCGAGCAGUCUAGGAUUUAAAAUUUAGAGGCCUCGGUGUCAUGAACAGUUUGACCAUCUCAUCUGUGACUUCCUUGCGUCUCUCUUGAUGCUCAGCAAUCAUUGGCUGCAGCGUCUCGAUCAAAAUCUUUUUCAGGUCUCCGGUUAGUAGAGCUCCACUAGCGUAGUCCUGCAGAGACGGGGCGGAGAUUAACAGAAUUCAAUUUAAAAAAGGAAAGACAAAGAAAAUACGAAAAAAAAAAUAAUCACUCAUCUAAAAUAAAGAAUCUCUAUCCCCUUACUGUACCUGUCUGAUCUUUUCCAGUUGAUCAUCAUCUUCCAGGAAAAAGGUCAAAUACAUGAAGGAGACGUCCACAUCUGGGUUACCUCCGUACUUCUUGUGCUCCUCCACUGUGUCUUUUCCUCCCGAAAAUGCAUGUUUGUUGACCUGUGAGUAAUUAGAAUGUCAUUCAACAAAACCUAGAUCUGACUGGUGACUAUUAACCAGCAGUAACUAGCAAGGUCAGUACCUUGCUUUUGAUCUGCUUGGGUGUGUCAGUGAGGAAGAUGGAGGAGUUGGCGUCACUGGCGCUCAUCUUGGUCUGUGCCCCCUGCAGAGCAGGAAAGAAGGUGGAGUGCAGCAGGGCUGGUUUGGGAUAGUUGAUCCUUGGAGCUACAUCACGGGUCAUCCUGAAGUAAGGAUCCUGAAUAAGUGAAGGAAUAGAAACUCAUGUAUGAUUCUUAAAGUGCCAUCCAGUAUUGUAUUACUUAUGCAUAUACUUAUGUUUUAAUGCUGCCCUGACCUGGUCUAUGGCACAGGGGAUGAGGCAGGGUACGUCUGUUCUGCCUCCAAAGAUCUGUGGAAAAGAGGUACUGAAGGAUGGGGCUGCCUGGAUGGCUGGAAAACUGAUCUUUCCUAGACAGACAAAGGUACAAACAAUGUUUUCCAUACAUUCAUACAAUCAGAAUCAGAGAAUAUGCUAUAACAUUACUAAUGUGUAUUACCAGUGACUGACUUACAUAUACCAAAUAUUUACAUAAAUCUAUCUCUAAAAUAAUAAAAAGUCUUAUGAUGUCUUACCAAUGCAGUCACUGUCUGUAAAGCCAAAGAUUCCUUUAACCUGGUUAAACGUAACGUGCUUCUGGAUCUUAACCACAUUCCUGUAAAAUUCAGGCGAUGAACUGUGGGAAAGAACAGACAAUAACUUGUUAAAAACGAUUACUACAAUAACAAACUAAAUAGACAUUCAAUCUAUAUUAACAAAAAGAUAAACAGUUUCUGUCACGGUUUACCCCAUGUAGUCAAGGUCAGAGAAGAUGAAGGUCUUGUUGACAUCAAAGCCGCAGGCAAUGAUGUCCUUUGCGUUUUCCACAGCAAAGUGGUGGCAUUCAUCCAGUGUUAGAUCCUUCCACAGAUACUUCUCGUCGUCAGUCAUCUGGAUCACCAGGGGAAUGUCAAACACAUCCUGAAGCCAUCUAUAAAAAAGAAAAGACUAGGUUAUUAAAAUCAAUAAAAAAAUCCAAUAUAUAAAAAAGUUUUACCAGCAAAGAACUGCGAUCAUAACUUGGAAAGGGAGCACUCACUUGGUAAAGAUAAAGGGGAUUAGGUGACCAAGGUGCAUGGCCUCUGAGGAUGGACCUCUGCCAGUGUAGAGGUAAAAGGACUUGUUCUUCUCGUAUGCAUCCAACACCUGAUGCACAUCUCUGCCGAAAACAGUGAAGAUACAUUUGAAUUGAUUUUUGUGGGAACUGUUGCUUGUAACCUUGCUUGCCUAAAAGUUGCCUAAAAAUAACAGUGAUUCACUGAUGCAUCAUGUCCUUUUGUCCUCCGUUCCAGCCUGUCACCACCAUCUGUUUCAGUAAAACGAAACAGACUGGUGGAAUGUUUGAGUCAUGAAAGGUCAGAUAAAGUUCAGAGUAUGGGGACGCACGUCAGUAAGUUUCAGAAUUACUGGUUGACAGGAUGAUGCAACAGAAUCUGUAAGACCACCUCUUUCUCGAGAAGUGAGUUUACAGGAAAUCUGAUGAAACCCUCAUGCUUCUCAUUCGCCAACCUGUGUGAGAAGAAGAUUCCUCUUCUCAAAAAGCGGUGAGGCUUCUGUCCCGAGACUUUUUCCAUUCUGUCCACCAACUCCUUGUCAAUUUUACUGCUGCCAAACCUCACUUGGGAAAGAGGAGACAAAAUGUGAAAUUUAGCUGAUGCAAUACAACUGACAAUUACAUUACAAUGUCAGUGGCUAAUAUGGUUCAUCAUCCAACACUACUACUAUAAGAUGUGAGACUUUGAUUCCUACCUAUGAGUUUGUCAUAGUCUACCCCCUUGGCAUUAGUGGUGGAUACGUUCCAUGGGUCGACAGUAUCUUCGUCAUCUCCACCAUCAGAUGCUGGACCAUUGUCAGGGGCAACAGAGGUUUCGGAGGGUGGGCACCCUGCUUUGUAAUCCUGCCCUGUCAUCUGUUUGUAGUCCAUCUUCAACUUCAGCAGCAACUGGAUAGCAGCUUCAAUUUCAGC